CCUACGGGAGGCAGCAGUCGAGAAUCAUUCACAAUGGGGGAAACCCUGAUGGUGCGACGCCGCGUGGGGGAAUGAAGGUCUUCGGAUUGUAAACCCCUGUCAUGUGGGAGCAAAUUAAAAAGAUAGUACCACAAGAGGAAGAGACGGCUAACUCUGUGCCAGCAGCCGCGGUAAUACAGAGGUCUCAAGCGUUGUUCGGAAUCACUGGGCGUAAAGCGUGCGUAGGCGGUUGCGUAAGUCGUGUGUGAAAGGCGCGGGCUCAACCCGCGGACGGCACAUGAUACUGCGAGACUAGAGUAAGGGAGGGGGAACCGGAAUUCUCGGUGUAGCAGUGAAAUGCGUAGAUAUCGAGAGGAACACUCGUGGCGAAGGCGGGUUCCUGGACAUUAACUGACGCUGAGGCACGAAGGCCAGGGGAGCGAAAGGGAUUAGAUACCCUUGUAGUC
rnacentral:rRNA from 1 species